UGGGGGGUGGUUUUGUGAAGAGUUUGUGUGAAUGCGGAUGAAUUAAAUCAAAAGACGGAUGCAAACAGAAAUGCAAACACAGAUGUAAAAAGACACGGAAACAAAAUAUUAAAAAUGGAAUCAAAUGCAGAAUAAAAAUGAUUGGUCAUUAACUCAAUUACUAUGCUUCCAAUCCCCGAUUAAAGACAAGUACACACUACUCUAAUU
rnacentral:lncRNA from 1 species